rnacentral:rRNA from 1 species
CACGUAGGCACCAAGCGUUGUCCGGAUUUAUUGGGCGUAAAGAGCUCGUAGGCGGUUCAGUAAGUCGGGUGUGAAAACUUUGGGCUUAACCCAAAGCGUGCAUCCGAUACUGCUGUGACUUGAGUUCGGUAGGGGAGUGGGGAAUUCCUAGUGUAGCGGUGAAAUGCGCAGAUAUCUGGAGGAACACCGGUGGCGAAGGCGGCAUCCUGGACCAACACAGACGCUGAGUGAGCGAAAGCCAGGGGAGCAAACGGG